rnacentral:rRNA from 1 species
CAGCCGCCGCGGUAAUACGUAGGGUGCAAGCGUUAAUCGGAAUUACUGGGCGUAAAGCGUGCGCAGGCGGUUUGUUAAGACAGAUGUGAAAUCCCCGGGCUCAACCUGGGAACUGCAUUUGUGACUGGCAAGCUAGAGUCUGGCAGAGGGGGGUGGAAUUCCGCGUGUAGCAGUGAAAUGCGUAGAUAUGCGGAGGAACACCGAUGGCGAAGGCAGCCCCCUGGGCCAACACUGACGCUCAUGCACGAAAGCGUGGGGAGCAAACAGGAUUAGAUACCCCCGUAGUCCCUGUCUCUUAUAC